UAUUCUCUGCCCCACUCUGAACUAUAACUGCGAUGAUAAUACUCUCCUUUCCUCCUACCUCUUACAUGGCUCCUCGAAUUGAAGUCAUCAGAAUACCUUCUCCUACCUGCUCCAGCAUCAGAACCAACACUUCCUAGUCGGGAAUGGGCAGAUGUUCUGCCCUCCUGUGUAAGGUCCUCUUGUACCCUAAAAUCUUGAUAAUCUCCAGCUUGCUUCCUCAAACUACCAUUCUGCCACUUACCAGAAAGUGCAUUUUGAGGUAACAAUCCCUUGGAAACUAAAUAUUCGGCUGCAAGUCUACCAGCUUCCAUCAAAAUGUCUCCUUUGCGUGGUGGUGGCUGGGGUGGCUGUUGAAAAGUUUUGGGAUGGCCCUGGCCACGGCCAAAGCCACGAUUAUUGAAGCUUCUGUACUCAGAAUUGUAAAACCCAUGGCCUCUGGCUGAACUAUCUGGGGAUAUCCUUGAGGCACCCAUUCCCAUAGAACUAGACCUGUACCCAUUUCCAGGACUUCGGUGCCUAGCAUGCAUCUUUCUAUUCCUGAUCGUUCUCAAACACUAUUAAAUACAACAAACAAUCAAUUGAAAGCCAAGGACAGUAAGUGAAAAAAGCAGGUGCUUUUAGCUCCCAAAAAUCCAGGACCAGCAGUACAGAAAAAAGAAAUUGCAAUCCUCAAAUUAAGCAACUNNNNNNNNGUGCCCACAAAUAAACUAAUAUGGUUUUUAUCUGGUCAAAGACGAGCAAAUCAACCCAACAAUAAAUUAUGGAGCCAAAAUGGCAGCUACCGGGUGCUUAACAAUCAAUACAGGUAGUAAUCUAAUUCCUUAGUACUUUUGAGGUCAAGGAAUCAAGGAGUCAAAAUCAACCAAAUCCAAGAGUGAAAAACCAAGAAAUGAGAUACAUAAAAAUCAAAGAUGAUCUUGGCUCCAAAGACAGUAAAAUCUGACCUUUCCUUCGUUCUGUUUUGGGUCUUUACCAGAGGCUGUAUCUAUUUGUUUUUGAUGUCUGUCAACCAAGAAAGAAAGAAGAUCCAGCUCUGGUGAUUUUAGGGUUUGAGAUCCAAGCAGGCCAAAUUUAUGGCCACCCUCUCUACCUACCCUCAACACCUCACCAUCUAGACCCCAAAAAAUCCCCUAAACUUUCCAAUUGAAGACUUGUUAAAAUCUUCCACAAUUUAAAGGUGACAGCUUUAGGUCUAAAAAAAUCUGGCAGCAAUCAGAAAG
rnacentral:misc_RNA from 1 species